GUCCUCCACAAAGAUUCUGUGUAUGAAAUCCCGGAACCUUUUUGAAUAUAGCUUUGGAUCAACAGCUGAGAUCGACGUGGCAUCCACUUGCAAGGACUUGUAUGCAUGUUCUAGCUUUUUGCUUAUAUCAUAAUCUUGGAGAAUGUCAAUGAUACCAAAGUAGAGAACCACCUCAAAGAUCUCACCAACAACCUGUGUAGGUGUUGAAUUGAUGCCUCCACCACCUG
rnacentral:misc_RNA from 1 species